rnacentral:rRNA from 1 species
UACGUAGGUGGCAAGCGUUGUCCGGAUUUAUUGGGUUUAAAGGGUGCGUAGGUGGCCCUGUAAGUCAGUGGUGAAAUAUCUCAGCUUAACUGAGAGGGUGCCAUUGAUACUGCAGGGCUUGAGUACAGAUGAGGUAGGCGGAAUUGACGGUGUAGCGGUGAAAUGCAUAGAUAUCGUCAAGAACACCGAUGGCGAAGGCAGUUCUCUGGGCCGUAACUGACGCUGAGGAGCGAAAGUGUGGGGAUCAAACAGG